rnacentral:rRNA from 1 species
GACGAACGCUGGCGGCGUGCCUAAUACAUGCAAGUAGAACGCUGAAGGAGGAGCUUGCUUCUCUGGAUGAGUUGCGAACGGGUGAGUAACGCGUAGGUAACCUGCCUGGUAGCGGGGGAUAACUAUUGGAAACGAUAGCUAAUACCGCAUAACAGUAGAUAUCGCAUGAUAUCUACUUGAAAGGUGCAAUUGCAUCACUACCAGAUGGACCUGCGUUGUAUUAGCUAGUUGGUGAGGUAACGGCUCACCAAGGCGACGAUACAUAGCCGACCUGAGAGGGUGAUCGGCCACACUGGGACUGAGACACGGCCCAGACUCCUACGGGAGGCAGCAGUAGGGAAUCUUCGGCAAUGGACGGAAGUCUGACCGAGCAACGCCGCGUGAGUGAAGAAGGUUUUCGGAUCGUAAAGCUCUGUUGUAAGAGAAGAACGAGUGUGAGAGUGGCAAGUUCACACUGUGACGGUAUCUUACCAGAAAGGGACGGCUAACUACGUG